rnacentral:misc_RNA from 1 species
AUUCUCAAGAUAUGCAGCACGCUACAAAAAAUACUCGGAAAAGAAAAAAAAUAAUAAGAAGAGAGACAAGGAAGCCAUAUUAAGGUAUCAUCAAAACAUUGAACCUUGCACAUGUAGGGGUUCAGGUUGGAAAUAGAAGCACAAAGGCCAAAAACAAAAGGUACAAAAGGAACAGAGGGAAAACCUCCAGUGGAUCCAUCUUUGCAGU